rnacentral:rRNA from 1 species
UACGUAGGGGGCAAGCGUUAUCCGGAUUUACUGGGUGUAAAGGGCGUGUAGGCGGGACUGCAAGUCAGAUGUGAAAACUCAGGGCUCAACCCUGAGCCUGCAUUUGAAACUGUAGUUCUUGAGUACUGGAGAGGCAGGCGGAAUUCCCUGUGUAGCGGUGAAAUGCGUAGAUAUAGGGAGGAACACCAGUGGCGAAGGCGGCCUGCUGGACAGCAACUGACGCUGAGGCGCGAAAGCGUGGGGAGCAAACAGG